CCCAUGAGUGACCAAGACAGAAUUUCUCCUUACAAUAUCAACCAGACAAGAGAUGAGAAUGAAGAAAAUAUCGAUCAGGGACUAUUAGUUAAUUCAAUACCAAAUUCUCUGACCUAACAUUAUAAGAGUUGUAUAGCAGAGUAAAGAGAAUUACUAACAAGAUCUUGGAAAUGAAAGGUUAAUGGUAUUGAAAUUUAGCUCAAGGACUGGAUUUACCACUAAGCUUAAAAAAGA